rnacentral:lncRNA from 1 species
CAAUGACACCAGGAGGAGGAAGGUGCCAGGAUUAGGUGAAAUCUGCACUAGAGCUGAAAACCAUAAACCUGAAAGAGUAAAGGUAACUAGACAUGUAUCAGGAACUGUAUCUAGAAGUGUCAGAACUCAUAGAGGCUGCAGUGCAGUAUCUCCUCCACUCAUUGCUCUGGAAAGUCCCUAUGACUGGAGACGAACCGUUAAACAAAAACAAGCUGAAGUAGUUUCCUAAGGCUGCCUAAUGAGAAGAAUGGCUUCCUGGUUGUGAUAUUUACAUAGACUAGUCACUCCAUGGCCUAUCAUGAUAUUUACACCAGGGGUGAUCCUUGCAGAACUUCAACUCUCAACUUAAGCUGGCAAAGCAUCAUGGGAGUCGUAGUUCUAAACCAGCUGGAGAUUUGCCUUUCCGGGCAGCACAGGUCUAUUGCACUGAUCUGAUCUACCCUUUGUACAGCGCUACGGAAUCUGAUGGCGCUAUAUAAAUAAUAAAAUAAUAGUAAUUAUAAUCACAGAGACACAUUUAAUAUAUUAUUUCACAUAUAAACACUGACGAAUCCACACUAAUUGUGUUUAGUUUGGGAAAUGCAUGAAGGACACCUUAUAAAUAAUUUACCUUUGUAUUGAUCCUGGUUUAUUACUGCUUCAUACUUCAUGUGAUCCAUAGCUUUUUUUUUUUCAGUGAUAAAUAAAUAAUGACGUAUAUCUAAAUGCUUUAAGUCUGCCUGUUGGUAUUUAGAGAUAGAGAUAGCUCUCUCAUCCAACUAUAUUGGAUUGUGUGUGAUAAAAUACAUACACACAUGCACAUACACAACAAACUAUAAUAUUUUUAAUUUUUUGCAUUUUUUAAAGAGAUGUUUCGACUAAAUAAACUCAGACCUAAAUCCAAUCAGUCAAACCAAUAAUAACGCUGGGUCAUUUAUUAUGGCCCAUACUUUGGAUCUAUACAAUACAUUCAUAAUACAUCAGCUCAAGUUCCCUACUAAAACUUGCAAUUUUCCCUCGAAUAGUAACAGAAUUCGGAAGCAAUGAAAAUUAAAAAAUAAAAAUAGCAAAACAAUACAUACAAACGUUUAAACCAAUGAUUUAUUUAUUUUUUUGUCAAUCAAAAUUUGUAUUGAGGCAUUAAGCGUAUAAACAAGGUAUACAAUGGUGACAUUAACAAUUGCAAUUAGAGGCUCGAUCAAAGCUGAUGGACUCAGAAAGAGAAUAUAGAAUAUAGUAUUUCACACCGAGAAUUUCCAGGCCUCAUUUUAUAUUUAAGGAAAACAAAAAGUAAAUUACACAGUGCAUUGAGGUUAAAACAAAAUAUUGAGGUUAAAACUAAAAAGAUAAUGUGACACAAAGCUACAACAAUGAUUCAGCUAAUAUUAUAUACUGUGAAAGUGUGUGUGUGAGUGUUUGUGUGUGUAUUAAAUAUACACCCAUAUUAGAAUAUUGAUGGUCACACUAGAUUUUCUUAUUAUCUGAAUUAUAUUGUGAGUGCAUAAAAAAAAACAUUUAAGCAAUCAAAAAAAAUAUAUAAUAAAAAAAUUAAAAAACAGAAUGGCACGAUGACAUUGUAUAAUGACGGGGACUAGGGCAUGUCACUGGCAUAUUAACAAUUGUCCCACUAAAAUGAAAUGCAUGCAGUUUUACCUCUGUAUAACCCUGCGGAAUGUGUUGGUGCGUUAAGAAUGUAAAAUAAAUAAUACAAAUAAUAUUAAUAAAUAAUAAUAAUACAGCCAUAAAAUAAAAUUUAAAAAGUAAAAUUGAGAAUAGAAUGCCAUUUGAGUUUUAUAGAACUCCGUGCAGUCAAUUAUAACAAAUUGAUCAGAAAUAUCUACAUUUUCAACAAAGUUUUUCAAUGUGUUGAAAAUAAUUGUAUAUAUACACAGCCGACAAAUCUUAUUCAUCGAAACAUGGUCCCUUCUUAUAUUUAAUUGAAUAAUCAUUGCGAUCCUCUGACGUGUAUAGGGACCAUAUAUUAAUUUAUGACAAAUACAUUGCAUUAAACUAAUGAGGCGAUUAUCUAAAUAUGAUGUCAGUCAUCAACAUUUAAAUCACAGAUUGAAUGAAAAAUAAAAUUUCAAUCCAAAGGCAAGUUGGGGAUAUUUUUUAUCACUUCAGCUAUUUAUUUUUGGCCUAGAAUUUACCAGUAGGCUCUAGAGUUUCACAAUUCUCAGUUUACGCCCUCCCUUCCCCAUAUUCCUAAUAUACAUAGUAUAUCUAAUAAAGAGAGGGAUUGAACGAGUGUGUGUGUGUUAACCACUUCAUGACCAUGGUUGCACUGUGUUGUUCGCCCUAAAAGGGUUAAAGUGACCAAGUGACAGGUUUGGCCCACAGUGUUGGUCAGGAGGUGUAGCACUGAAGAAAGGCCCUUACAUGUCUCUAUAGUUUCACAGACAUCAGGACAAUGAGCUGAGGUCAGUGGAAAGCGGUUAAGUGCUGGAAAAUCCCUUCCUAGAUUGCUCACAGCAACAUCUGCACUUUUUACAUUUACAGUCUCAUUUGUUCUUUUGAAUACAUGUAGCAAUAAUUCUUUUCAGUUAGAGUCUUUCGAAAUGAAACAACACAAACUACUGAUGUAAAGCAGGAUUAAAGAAAACACACUGAUGUAAUAAAAUGAAAGCAUUAAAAAACAAAAAACAAAUCACAUUGAUGCAAUAUAUUUAUCACAACUUUUUUCAAUUGACUAUAAUUUGAUUGCUUGCCCCAAUAAUGUCGCAUCAGUCGGGGCUUUGGCAAAAAAGAAAAAAAAAAUAGUUUUCACGUUUUCCCAAUUAUACAACAUAUUAUUGUGCCUUUUCAAACGAUUACUCAAAGGGUUGACAUUCCUAACAAUGUAUGCCAGCCAAUAUGUAUUAACCUUUAAAAUGCCACAGUCAUGCAAUACUAUGAACUACUCUGGAGUCAGUAUUAUGUGAUACAAGGUGUUAAGGAGAUCUAUUAAUGCAAAGUAUCUGGAAAGGCCAGGACUAUGGGGGGCUUGAUAACAAUGUUCCUUCUUGUUUCAGGGGCCAUUGUGUGGAUCUCAAGAGUGAGAAAGCUCAAGAAGCAAAGUUUAAUAUAUUGAUUCUUUAUAACUUCAGGGAAAAUUGUUAUUGCCACCAGUACAGUAAGUGUUUUGUAUAAAGUACAGAACACGGAAAUACCAAGUCAAAUUACAGAAUCCCAAUGGCCUACUACACCAUGCUGAACAAGAAUAUUCAAGCCAUCACUCAGAGAUUCUCACUUGUUACCUUCAUCAUCGUCUCCAAUCACAUUUAAAAUAUAAGGAGCUUAG